AAUAACAAAAGGUGAAAUCACGUACAAGUACGUGUUGUCUUUAUUGAACGUAUUCAGUCGUUACGUCAUUUUACAACCUCUGUCCGACAAGUCAGCAAAAGUCGUAGCUCGACACCUUAGCUCCGUGUAUUCUAUUUUUGGUUCACCACGAUUGCUGCAAUGCGACCAAGGCAAAGAGUUUACGGCACGCGUGACUAGACAAGUUAUGAAAGCUUUCAAUUGUCGGAUGAUAUACGGAUCGCCUUAUCAUCCUCAGUCCCAAGGAAAGAUAUCUAAAGAGUAUCGUAGUGCUCCUCACUAAACGUAUAGCUUGUAUUUCGACCUUAAUACGUUUUAGAUUUUACGUAACGUAUGCAUGUAGUAGUUAAAAAUGUUAUGUACUAGGAUGAACGGUCUCAUCGAACGUGGAAGGAGAAGCUGAAAUUUGACCUCUACAACAAUUUAGCAACAACGUCUGGAGUCGACUGGGUAGGUGUACUACAAAAAUACGCGCAGCUGUACAACAACAGCCCACACAGUUCACUUGGUAUGAGAAGUUCAUUUCACGUGUUUUUUGGACGCGAAUCAAACGUAGUUCUCUGUAAGCGAAGUCUUGAUUCAGAAAGCCAGUUAGAAAUAGACAUUGGCAGCGACAGUGAGACGCUAUCUAUUGCUAGCUAUGACAUUCACAGCAACACUAGCGACGAUGACGACAAUCACGUAAUUGAGACUGAGCUCAAUAUUUUUGAACGUGUAAGGAAACAAGCCUACGAUUCGUCGCAAACAACUGCUUAUCGACAAGCGGAACGUUACGCAGCAUCUCAUCCGCCUUCUACAUGCAGCGUCGGUGAUGCAGUCCUAGUUCGCUUACAUACGAGUAUCGGCCGAAAGAAAUGGAACAAGCUACCGGUUACCCCGGUUAUUGGCAAAGGAAAAAUUAUAAAAACCAACUUUCAGAAGAAUCGGUACCUAGUGCGCGUAAUCGACGAGUAAACAGCUACUAAAUGGUUUGCAGUAUUGGAUAUCACAUCCCUUACAGCCGAGGAAGAAAACACCAGACAAGCACUAGCCAAAAAAUUAUUACUCUUGAAGAAGGCUAAAGAAAAUGUUGAGAAAACGACUGCAUUUAGCGGCUAUGUCAAGAAAAAUCCCAGCAUUUCAGCUACUGUGACUUCACAAGGUACACUAGCCGACGACAGCGAACUUGCACAGAUAGCCCAAUUCUCUCUUUAUGAACACGAAGUUGAACAACAGGCAAAGAACGACAUUUCUUAUUCUCUAGUCUGCCGUAUUGAAGAAAUGGGUCUUACUGUGAGAAAAGAGGUCAAAGGAGACGGCAACUGUUUCUUUAGAGCACUAAGUAAUCAACUUAGUCGUUUCGGUGUCAACAUGUCCCACCAAAAGAUUAGAAAGACGAUAGUUCGGCACCUAAACGAAAAUCCUUUCACGGUACUAUAUAGUAGCAAAUUUGUCAUGCUACCAUAAUAUAAUUAAGUAUUGUUUACCAUAUUAGCUAGUAUAUGUGUACAUUGCUACUUUUAUGUCUAAGCAGGACUCAGGAGAACAUCUUUCUCAAUUUAUUCCACUCGAAUGGACAGACUACAUUUAACAGUAUGAAAAUGCCGGGCAUUUGGGCGGAUGAAAUUGUCGUGCGAGCUGCAGCAACAGUAUUUGACCGUCCAGUGUACAUUGUCUCUUCCCUUGAAAAUGAAAACAGCGACAAACAAAUUAACGCAAGAACUGCAGAAGAGAACCGGCGUGCACCAAUGCUGCUGGGGCAUGUGGCAGAAAACCACUAUUAGAGUCUGGAUCUCAAUACUGCAAAACAGCGUUAGUAAAUUACAUUGUACAAACGUUGAAAAGCUGCUGCAUUAAAACUUUGUUAGCAGAAACGUUUCCAGGCAACCGACGCAAAACUGUUGGCGAGUUUGACA